rnacentral:lncRNA from 1 species
GGGGUAUUUGCCUAUUUCCAAAUUUAAUGGGGUAUUUGACGAAUUUUAAAAUUUUAAGAGGGUAUUUGACGGUUUACUCAUUGUAACCCAUUACUUGGUGCAAUUAAUUCGAUUCAUUUGAGUUUUGAAUUUUCAAUAAUAUGGUAAUAAAUAUUGAAUUAUAUUCCUUAUUAGUCAACAAUCAUAAAUCAAAUUCUUCUUAACUCAGUGACCAAUCAAUUGGAUCAAUUUUCUUGAUUACAUUCUCC